UACAGAGGGGGCAAGCGUUAUUCGGAAUUAUUGGCGUAAAGGGCGCGUAGGCGGUGUGCAAGUGGAAGGUGAAAUCCCUCCGGGCUCAACCGAGGAACUGCCUUUCAAACUUGCAUGACUUGAGUCCGGGAGAGGUGAGUGGAAUUCCCAGUGGUAGCGGGUGAAAUGCGUAGAUAUUGGGAGGAACACCAGUGGCGAAGGCGACUACCUGGCCUGUUCUUGACGCUGAGGCGGCGAAAGCUA
rnacentral:rRNA from 1 species